rnacentral:lncRNA from 1 species
CCUCGUCAUCAUCAUCAAAAAUGGUCUUCCUAUAUAUCUUACCUAUACUAUUACGUGUCACAACUUCGUCACCAAAAAACUUACCAAUAAGCAUAUUCUCCAUACCUUUAUAUGGAGUUAUAUCAUCCUCACCUUUCCAUCUCAACCCAGAUAUCAUACAAAACUCAGGCAAACCGAACCUGACCCUUUUCUCUCCAAACAAAAACCACAUUUCACCGUCAUCCUUCUGGUGAACCUCCCUCACAAG